UACGUAGGGGGCAAGCGUUGUCCGGAAUUAUUGGGCGUAAAGAGCGUGUAGGCGGUCCGGUAAGUCAGCUGUGAAAGUCAAGGGCUCAACCCUUGAAAGCCGGUUGAUACUGUCGGGCUAGAGUUCGGAAGAGGCGAGUGGAAUUCCUGGUGUAGCGGUGAAAUGCGCAGAUAUCAGGAGGAACACCUAUUGCGAAGGCAGCUCGCUGGGACGUUACUGACGCUGAGACGCGAAAGCGUGGGGAGCAAACAGG
rnacentral:rRNA from 1 species